rnacentral:tRNA from 1 species
AUUUAUAUAUUUUAAAUAAAAUAUUAUAUUUUCAUUAUAAUGAUAAUAAUUUUAAAAUUAUUUGUAAAUU